UACGUAGGUGACCAGCGUUGUCCGGAUUUACUGGGCGUAAAGAGCGCGCAGGCGGUCGUUCAAGUCGAGUGUGAAAGCCCCCGGCUCAACUGGGGAGGGUCACUCGAUACUGAUCGACUGGAAGGCAGGAGAGGGAAGCGGAAUUCCCGGUGUAGUGGUGAAAUGCGUAGAUAUCGGGAGGAACACCAGUGGCGAAGGCGGCUUCCUGGCCUGCUCUUGACGCUGAGGCGCGAAAGCUAGGGGAGCAAACGGG
rnacentral:rRNA from 1 species